rnacentral:lncRNA from 1 species
AAUGAAUCUGGAAGCAGCAUCUCCAGCUCCAACAUGUGCCUCUGAUGCAUCUGAUCGUUCAAUGGAUCGACCUGUUGUGUUCAAACAGAGAAUAAAGCUAGAAGCAGCAUCUCCAGCGCCAACAUGUGCAUCUGAUGCAUCUGACCGUUCAAUGGAUCGACCUGUGACGUUUAAAAGGUGUUUUUAUAUUUUUCACUACACAAAUUCUUAUUUGAAGUCAUUUAUUUUUUUAUUUCUUACUCUUGUACUCUUGUUUAUUCUUGUAAACUUUGCAAUCUCUUCUUUUUUUUAGACCAUCACCAGCUCCUACCUCCAUUUCUAUGAGGGGACAUUUGACAAAACAACCACUUUUGUUUAACAGAGGCGAAGAUACUAUUGGGUAAACUUCGGAACACAAACUUCUGGUCUUCUUUUGUUUUAUUUCCACAGUGUUUCUGUUGAGAACAUGCUAUUUGUUUGAUGCACUGUUUAGACAUCAAGGACCAGCAUGAAUUAGUUUAAUUUUUAUUCUUAAGUCAUAGUUUGCUAAAGGCUCUGUUCUGUGAUCAUUAUGUUUGUAAUAAACACAGCGAGUUAUCAGCCUGCCUGCUGACG